CCUACGGGUGGCAGCAGUGGGGAAUAUUGGACAAUGGGGGCAACCCUGAUCCAGCCAUGCCGCGUGUGUGAAGAAGGCCCUCGGGUUGUAAAGCACUUUCAGUGAGGAAGAACGCCUGGUGGUUAAUACCCAUCAGGAAAGACAUCACUCACAGAAGAAGCACCGGCUAACUCCGUGCCAGCAGCCGCGGUAAUACGGAGGGUGCGAGCGUUAAUCGGAAUUACUGGGCGUAAAGCGCGCGUAGGUGGCUUGAUAAGCCGGUUGUGAAAGCCCCGGGCUCAACCUGGGAACGGCAUCCGGAACUGUCAAGCUAGAGUGCAGGAGAGGAAGGUAGAAUUCCCGGUGUAGCGGUGAAAUGCGUAGAGAUCGGGAGGAAUUCCAGUGGCGAAGGCGGCCUUCUGGACUGACACUGACACUGAGGUGCGAAAGCGUGGGUAGCAAACAGGAUUAGAUACCCUGGUAGUC
rnacentral:rRNA from 1 species